CCAUGGCUUGGGGUCCCAAGAUGUCCCUGAAAUGUGUAGCAGCUCCAAAACAUUGGAUGCUGGAUAAACUGACUGGUGUGUUUGCCCCUCUUCCAUCUACCAGCCCCCACAAGCUAAGGGAAUGUCUCCCCUAAUCAUUUUCCUAAGGAAUAGACUUAAGUGUGCCCUAACAGGAGAUGAAGUAAAGAAGAUUUGCAUGCAGCAUUUCAUUAAGAUCGAAGGCAAAGUCCGCACAGAUAUAACCUACCCUGCUGGUUUUAUGGAUGUCAUCAGCACUGAUAAGAUUGGAGAGAAUUUCCAUUUGAUCUAUGACACCAAGGGUUGCUUUGCUGUUCAUCAUAUUACACCUGAGGAGGCCAAGUAUAAAUUGUGCAAAGUAAGAAAGAUAUUUGUGGGGACAAAAGGAAUCCCUCAUCUGGUAACCCAUGAUGCUCGUACCAUCCGUUACCCUGAUCCCCUCAUCAAGGUGAAUGACACCAAUCAGAUUGACUUGGGGACUGGCAAGAUUACUGAUUUCAUCAAAUUUGACACUGGUCGACUUCACUUCACUUCACUUCACUUCACUUCAACGACUGGAGGUGCUAACCUGGGAAGAAUUGGUGUGAUUACAAACCGGGAGAGACAUCCAGGUUCUUUUGAUGUAGUUCAUGUGAAAGAUGUGAACGGCAACAGCUUUGCCACAUGGCUCUCAAACAUUUUCAUUAUUGGCAAAGGCAACAAACCGUGGAUCUCACUUCCCCGUGGAAAGGGUACUCGCCUUACCAUUGCUGAGGAGAGAGACAAGAGAUUGGCAGCCAAACAGAGAAGUGGAUAAAAUGAUCUCUACAUGAUGUGAUUGGAAAAGUCUUUGUACUUAAUUAAAGAUAAUACAAAGUGAAAAAAAAAAA